CCGAAUGGGGAAACCCAGUGUGAUUCGUCACACUAUCAUUAACUGAAUCCAUAGGUUAAUGAGGCGAACCGGGGGAACUGAAACAUCUAAGUACCCCGAGGAAAAGAAAUCAACCGAGAUUCCCCCAGUAGCGGCGAGCGAACGGGGAGGAGCCCAGAGCCUGAAUCAGCAUGUGUGUUAGUGGAAGCGUCUGGAAAGGCGCGCGAUACAGGGUGACAGCCCCGUACACAAAAGCGCAUGUGCUGUGAGCUCGAUGAGUAGGGCGGGACACGUGGUAUCCUGUCUGAAUAUGGGGGGACCAUCCUCCAAGGCUAAAUACUCCUGACUGACCGAUAGUGAACCAGUACCGUGAGGGAAAGGCGAAAAGAACCCCGGCGAGGGGAGUGAAAAAGAACCUGAAACCGUGUACGUACAAGCAGUGGGAGNNNNNNNNNNNNNNNNNNNNNNNNNNNNNNNNNNNNNNNNNNNNNNNNGGGCGUUAAGUUGCAGGGUAUAGACCCGAAACCCGGUGAUCUAGCCAUGGGCAGGUUGAAGGUUGGGUAACACUAACUGGAGGACCGAACCGACUAAUGUUGAAAAAUUAGCGGAUGACCUGUGGCUGGGGGUGAAAGGCCAAUCAAACCGGGAGAUAGCUGGUUCUCCCCGAAAGCUAUUUAGGUAGCGCCUCGUGAAUUCAUCUCCGGGGGUAGAGCACUGUUUCGGCUAGGGGGCCAUCCCGGCUUACCAACCCGAUGCAAACUGCGAAUACCGGAGAAUGUUAUCACGGGAGACACACGGCGGGUGCUAACGUCCGUCGUGAAGAGGGAAACAACCCAGACCGCCAGCUAAGGUCCCAAAGUCAUGGUUAAGUGGGAAACGAUGUGGGAAGGCCCAGACAGCCAGGAUGUUGGCUUAGAAGCAGCCAUCAUUUAAAGAAAGCGUAAUAGCUCACUGGUCGAGUCGGCCUGCGCGGAAGAUGUAACGGGGCUAAACCAUGCACCGAAGCUGCGGCAGCGAACGUAUCACCCAAGACAACUUUACGGAGUUGACGAUUGACGGAGCGAAGCGACGUCAAAGCGUUCAUUAAAGUCGAGUUGGCUUAGGGAUACGUUCGUUGGGUAGGGGAGCGUUCUGUAAGCCUGUGAAGGUGUGUCGUGAGGCAUGCUGGAGGUAUCAGAAGUGCGAAUGCUGACAUAAGUAACGAUAAAGCGGGUGAAAAGCCCGCUCGCCGGAAGACCAAGGGUUCCUGUCCAACGUUAAUCGGGGCAGGGUGAGUCGACCCCUAAGGCGAGGCCGAAAGGCGUAGUCGAUGGGAAACGGGUUAAUAUUCCCGUACUUGGUGUUACUGCGAAGGGGGGACGGAGAAGGCUAUGUUGGCCGGGCGACGGUUGUCCCGGUUUAAGCGUGUAGGUGUGUGUUCCAGGUAAAUCCGGUUCACUUUAACACUGAGGCGUGACGACGAGGCACUACGGUGCUGAAGCAACAAAUGCCCUGCUUCCAGGAAAAGCCUCUAAGCAUCAGGUAACACGAAAUCGUACCCCAAACCGACACAGGUGGUCAGGUAGAGAAUACCAAGGCGCUUGAGAGAACUCGGGUGAAGGAACUAGGCAAAAUGGUGCCGUAACUUCGGGAGAAGGCACGCUGACACGUAGGUGAAGUGAUUUACUCAUGGAGCUGAAGUCAGUCGAAGAUACCAGCUGGCUGCAACUGUUUAUUAAAAACACAGCACUGUGCAAACACGAAAGUGGACGUAUACGGUGUGACGCCUGCCCGGUGCCGGAAGGUUAAUUGAUGGGGUCAGCGCAAGCGAAGCUCCUGAUCGAAGCCCCGGUAAACGGCGGCCGUAACUAUAACGGUCCUAAGGUAGCGAAAUUCCUUGUCGGGUAAGUUCCGACCUGCACGAAUGGCGUAAUGAUGGCCAGGCUGUCUCCACCCGAGACUCAGUGAAAUUGAACUCGCUGUGAAGAUGCAGUGUACCCGCGGCAAGACGGAAAGACCCCGUGAACCUUUACUAUAGCUUGACACUGAACAUUGAGCCUUGAUGUGUAGGAUAGGUGGGAGGCUUUGAAGUGUGGACGCCAGUCUGCAUGGAGCCGACCUUGAAAUACCACCCUUUAAUGUUUGAUGUUCUAACGUGGACCCGUAAUCCGGGUUGCGGACAGUGUCUGGUGGGUAGUUUGACUGGGGCGGUCUCCUCCUAAAGAGUAACGGAGGAGCACGAAGGUUGGCUAAUCCUGGUCGGACAUCAGGAGGUUAGUGCAAUGGCAUAAGCCAGCUUGACUGCGAGCGUGACGGCGCGAGCAGGUGCGAAAGCAGGUCAUAGUGAUCCGGUGGUUCUGAAUGGAAGGGCCAUCGCUCAACGGAUAAAAGGUACUCCGGGGAUAACAGGCUGAUACCGCCCAAGAGUUCAUAUCGACGGCGGUGUUUGGCACCUCGAUGUCGGCUCAUCACAUCCUGGGGCUGAAGUAGGUCCCAAGGGUAUGGCUGUUCGCCAUUUAAAGUGGUACGCGAGCUGGGUUUAGAACGUCGUGAGACAGUUCGGUCCCUAUCUGCCGUGGGCGCUGGAGAACUGAGGGGGGCUGCUCCUAGUACGAGAGGACCGGAGUGGACGCAUCACUGGUGUUCGGGUUGUCAUGCCAAUGGCACUGCCCGGUAGCUAAAUGCGGAAGAGAUAAGUGCUGAAAGCAUCUAAGCACGAAACUUGCCCCGAGAUGAGUUCUCCCUGAGACUUAGAGUCUCCUGAAGGAACGUUGAAGACGACGACGUUGAUAGGCCGGGUGUGUAAGCGCAGCGAUGCGUUGAGCUAACCGGUACUAAUGAACCGUGAGGCUUAACCUUACAACGC
rnacentral:rRNA from 1 species